rnacentral:rRNA from 1 species
UAACUCAGGGAUUGCCAUUGAAACUGUUCUACUAGAGUGUAAGUAGAGGACGGCGGAAUGAGUUGUGUAGCGGUGAAAUGCAUAGAUAUAACUCAGAACACCUAUUGCGUAGGCAGCUGUCUAUACUACAACUGACGCUGAGGCACGAAAGCGUGGGGAGCGAACAGGAUUAGAUACCCUGGUAGUCCACGCUGUAAACGAUGAUCACUCGUUGUUGGCUACUUAGUAGUCAGUGACCAAGGGAAACCGAUAAGUGAUCCACCUGGGGAGUACGUCGGCAACGAUGAAACUCAAAGGAAUUGACGGGGGCCCGCACAAGCGGAGGAACAUGUGGUUUAAUUCGAUGAUACGCGAGGAACCUUACCUGGGCUUAAAUGCUGGCUGCAUUGGAGGGAAACCUUCAUUUCCUACGGGACCGCCAGCAAGGUGCUGCAUGGUUGUCGUCAGCUCGUGCCGUGAGGUGUCGGGUUAAGUCCCAUAACGAGCGCAACCCCUAUCGCUAGUUGCCAGCAUGUAAUGGUGGGGACUCUAGCGAGACUGCCGGUGUAAACCGGAGGAAGGUGGGGAUGACGUCAAAUCAGCACGGCCCUUACGUCCAGGGCUACACACGUGUUACAAUGGCCGGUACAAAGAGCAGCCACCUGGCGACAGGGCGCUAAUCUCUAAAACCGGUCUCAGUUCGGAUCGAAGUCUGCAAUUCGACUUCGUGAAGGUGGAUUCGCUAGUAAUCGCGCAUCAGCCAUGGCGCGGUGAAUAAGUUCCCGGGCCUUGUACACACCGCCCGUCAAGCCAUGGAAGUCGGGGGUACCUGAAGUCCGUAACCGA